rnacentral:rRNA from 1 species
ACCUUCUGUUUGACAGCGGAGGGACAUUA